UUCCCUAGAGUCCUUAAGCAUGUGCUGUUUCCCAUCUCCUCCUCAGCUUCAGCUCUGAACCCCGCAAGCCCUUACCUGCAGCGUGAAGAUUAAGAAGCAGGCACAGCGCAGGGAAGCCGAUCGCUCUCCUCUUCAUAGUGUGUGCAUUGAGGGGCAGAGGAGAAACUCCACCGCAAUCCCACUUCAGUUUGCAUAGAAGAAUCUACGUCCAAAUCAAGCACCUGAGAGCUAGUGUUCCUCCAUCAUUGCUGUAAGCAUCAGUGUAAGUCAGUGAGGUUCUGUGAACACCAGUGCUUGGUGUCUUAAAAGGAAGAGCUACCACUGAGUGUAACCGUGGAGAACAUUCUUCUAAGGCCUUGAAAUAAUGGCUUGGAACAAAAGCACCUUCAGUAUGAUCCUCUACCCACCA